rnacentral:rRNA from 1 species
AACGAACGCUGGCGGCAUGCCUAACACAUGCAAGUCGAACGAGACCUUCGGGUCUAGUGGCGCACGGGUGCGUAACGCGUGGGAACCUGCCCUUAGGUUCGGAAUAACUCCCCGAAAGGGGUGCUAAUACCGGAUAAUGUCUUCGGACCAAAGAUUUAUCGCCUUUGGAUGGGCCCGCGUUGGAUUAGCUAGUUGGUAGGGUAAAAGCCUACCAAGGCGACGAUCCAUAGCUGGUCUGAGAGGAUGAUCAGCCACACUGGGACUGAGACACGGCCCAGACUCCUACGGGAGGCAGCAGUGGGGAAUAUUGGACAAGGGGCGAAAGCCUGAUCCAGCAAGGCCGCGUGAGUGAUGAAGGCCUUAGGGUUGUAAAGCUCUUUUACCCGGGAUGAUAAUGACAGUACCGGGAGAAUAAGCUCCGGCUAACUCCGU